GACGAACGCUGGCGGCAUGCCUAAUACAUGCAAGUCGAGCGAACAGAUGAAGUGCUUGCACUUCUGACGUUAGCGGCGAACGGGUGAGUAACACGUAGGGAAUCUACCUAUAAGCGGGGGAUAACAUUCGGAAACGGGUGCUAAUACCGCAUAAUAUCUUCUUCCGCAUGGAAGAAGAUUGAAAGACGGCUCUGCUGUCACUUAUAGAUGACCUUGCGGUGCAUUAGUUAGAUGGUGGGGUAAUGGCCUACCAAGACAAUGAUGCACAGCCGACCUGAGAGGGUGAUCGGCCACAUUGGGACUGAGACACGGCCCAAACUCCUACGGGAGGCAGCAGUAGGGAAUCUUCCGCAAUGGGCGAAAGCCUGACGGAGCAAUGCCGCGUGAGUGAAGAAGGCCUUCGGGUCGUAAAACUCUGUUAUAAGAGAAGAACAAAUUGUAGAGUGACUGCUACAGUCUUGACGGUAUCUUAUCAGAAAGCCACGGCUAACUACGUGCCAGCCGCCGCGGUAA
rnacentral:rRNA from 1 species